AGAACGAACGCUGGCGGCAUGCCUAACACAUGCAAGUCGAACGCUCACCGGGCUUCGGUUCGGUGGGAGUGGCGCACGGGUGAGUAGCGCGUGGGAACCUGCCCUGUUGUGGGGGAUAACCGAGGGAAACUUCGGCUAAUACCGCAUGCGCCCGGGGAAACCCGGGGAAAGAUUUAUCGCAGCAGGAGGGGCCCGCGUCGGAUUAGGUAGUUGGUAGGGUAACGGCCUACCAAGCCUUUGAUCCGUAGCUGGUCUGAGAGGAUGAUCAGCCACACUGGGACUGAGACACGGCCCAGACUCCUACGGGAGGCAGCAGUGGGGAAUAUUGGACAAUGGGCGCAAGCCUGAUCCAGCAAUGCCGCGUGAGUGAUGAAGGCCUUCGGGUUGUAAAGCUCUUUCGCACGCGAGGAUGAUGACGCUAGCGUGAGAAGAAGCCCCGGCUAACUUCGUGCCAGCAGCCGC
rnacentral:rRNA from 1 species